UGUGUGCUCUCAGGUCCGCACAACACUCACCCCUUACUGUCUCACAGCCACGCCCAUCAAAGCAAAGGUGGUAAAACAUAGUAAUGACCUCAGCCACCCAGCGCUGACCACAUAAAGGCUCUCCCCUCGCACAUCAAUGCCAGCGACUCUGUGACCUGGCAGUGAAGUGCCGAACAAGUUCCAGUCACACAGCAGGGGCUGCCCAGAGUCCCUACUCUUAAGAGCACUGUUCUCUUUGAUAGUCUGAGGACUUUUCACUUUCAUCCAGUUUUCCCAAUAUCCACACAGUUCUUUAGAGCUCUCUUUUAAUUAACAGUUUCUGUCUCUGAUUUUUAAAGCUUUUGUGAGAAAUGGCCUCCAAAAUUAUAGUAAAAUAGUAAGUAUAAACUGCUCAUUUUAAAAAUAAAAGUACAGACUAUAUAUAUUUUCAAUAUAAUUAGUGGAAGUCAAGUUCAGCAUGAACUGAUGGCAUUUACAGUAGAAUCGUGAUUAUGGAAUAUGUAGAUUCUAAAAGCAAUGUCAAACAUUGUAAAAUAGAGAAUUUUCUCUACCUAUAACUAUAGUAUUUUGAUAUUUUCUAUACUAACAUACUUUUUUCUAUAUUAGAAUUUUGUGACUCUCCAAUAUAAAGUUUUUAUUUUAGUAUUAAAUUUUCAGCUACAGAGGCUUUGAGAAAAAAAAUUGAUCUAGGCUAAGAAUCUGAAGGAAGGCUGAUUGUAAUCUAAUAAUAGCAAGCGGAAAUAACAAUGCAAUUGAGAAGCAAAACCUAAAUGAAAACAGUGUUGUUAGUUCUGAGGCAAGAGCACUAAACUAUAAAUGUAUAAACUACAUGACUCACAGCGAACGCCGUCUAAGGAGACAGUCCUCUGUAUCGACAGCAUGAUGCUGCAUCUUGAUAGUCUUCCACAAAGAAAAGAACCACUAACAGAAACUAAGUUCAUGGCUACUCUCUGCUCUGCACAAGGCCUGUCAACCACACUAAAGUCUGAGAUGUAUGCUGUUUCCCAGGCUCCUGACGACUGUGGUCUCGGCAAGUCACGGGCACCCUAUGGAGCUCCACUUCCCAGGCUCACACACAUGGUGCUUCAGAGGGAAGUGGCAUCUGACAGCAGCAUGCCAGGACACACAAAUGUCACACAUGCUACGCAGAUCCAGAAAACAAAAAUCAUAAAAUCAGCUAAUGGAGACUGCAACGCCAUGGAAAACUAGGAAAGAGCACGGUUAACACAUAACUAAGAAACAAAACAAUUACUAAUAAUUUUUCGCUAAAGAGCCUCCAAACCUAGAAUUACUCCAUUCCUAUGGUUAAAGAUAUGAGUAUCAUGUCAGCCGGAACUGUAAAAGAGUGAAGACUCGUCUCUACGGGGACACCGUAACAAUAAACGAACACCCAAGAACCGGAUCCCACUGACUUCCCAGGUGAUACUUACCUAAUCUUUAUAAAUUAUAUAAAUUAUGUGCUACGUUAUGGAUUUCCUACAUUCUUUCUGUGAUCUCUAGGUCCCAGAACAGUAGAAGCCCUCGGUCUAGUUACACUGCGGAACAGUAAACUACAAAGGCAGCAGCACAUAAGGCUGUGAACCCAGUAGGCUGCUUACAGGCUCUACUCAAGGACUUGCAAGUCUAAAUCUGGAAAGAUCAAACCAUGGCGGCAUGGCGAGCCCUGUAAAAGGGUCUGGAUGCACAGGCUGAGAACUAACACUUCAGAGCCUUUACUGACAGGACAAAGAAGGCAGAAGAGAGCUUAGUGAAGGCGGCGAGCAAGGGUGCAGCUGGAGAGCUCUAAGAGCCUGGAUUUUUUUAAAUUCUUAGCAAGCAGCACUAAGCCAGUGCCGACCAAACUGCACUCCAACAAUAAAGUCAGCACACACCAACUGCAGCAUCGGGACCUAAGCACGACUGUCGGAAACUGCCCUGUAUUAUACAGAAGUGAACGGUAAGUGUUUGAUGGGCUUACAGGUUACAAACACAAAGGUGGGAACUGGACAAAGUUAGCAGGGGCCUCUCAGAUGGAGUCACUGUACAAAAAGAACAAGGAUGGUAAUUUAAUGAAACUGCACCUGCUUGCUUUCGUGGUGUUGGUGAUUAAGCCAAGAGCUUCAGCAGACGACCAUAAAAGCACUCACCAAGCUCCAGUUUACGAGGGUUGCUGUGUUCUCUUGACAUGUUUUUUGGUAACUAAUUUCUUUUUUUUUUUUUUUUUUUUUGGUUCUUUUUUCCGGAGCUGGGGACCGAA